GUCUCUGUGGCGCAAUCAGUUAGCAUGUCUGGCUGUUAACCAGAAGGUUGGUGGUUCAAGCCCACCCAAGGACA
rnacentral:tRNA from 1 species